AUUCAGCUGACGUGUUCCGAAUAGGACGAAACGCGUGUCCUGGAU
rfam:Schistosoma mansoni strain Puerto Rico chromosome 7, complete genome